rnacentral:rRNA from 1 species
GAUGAACGCUGACAGAAUGCUUAACACAUGCAAGUCGAUGGGGAAGUGGUGCUUGCACCAUGGCAACCAUGGCGGACGGGUGAGUAACGCGUAAGGGACUUACCUGCAGGACUGGGAUAACAGGGGGAAACUCCUGACAAGACCGGAUAAUGUCAUGGAGCUGCAUGGCUUUAUGAUGAAAGGAGACGCCUGCGGAGAGCCUUGCGUCCUAUUAGCUAGUUGGUGAGGUAAUGGCUCACCAAGGCGAAGAUAGGUAGCCGGCCUGAGAGGGUGGACGGCCACAAGGGGACUGAGAUACGGCCCUUACUCCUACGGGAGGCAGCAGUGGGGAAUAUUGGACAAUGGGGGCAACACUGAUCCAGCAAUUCUGUGUGCACGAAGAAGGUUUUCGGAUUGUAAAGUGCUUUCAGCAGGGAAGAAGUAAGUGACGGUACCUGCAGAAGAAGCGACGGCUAAAUACGUG